UCAACAUUCGGACCAUCGGUCUACCGAGCAAUAUCACCCGCUCGGUAGAGAUCUUUCAUUUCGUCGU
rnacentral:pre_miRNA from 1 species